rnacentral:rRNA from 1 species
CCUACGGGGGGCAGCAGUGAGGAAUCUUCCACAAUGGGGGCAACCCUGAUGGAGCAACGCCGCGUGCAGGAUGAAGGCCUUCGGGUCGUAAACUGCUUUUAUUUGUGAAGAAUAUGACGGUAACAAAUGAAUAAGGGUCGGCUAACUACGUGCCAGCAGCCGCGGUCAUACGUAGGACCCAAGCGUUAUCCGGAGUGACUGGGCGUAAAGAGUUGCGUAGGCGGUUAGUUAAGCGAAUAGUGAAACCUGGUGGCUCAACCAUACAGACUAUUAUUCGAACUGGCUAACUCGAGAGUGGUAGAGGUAACUGGAAUUUCUAGUGUAGGAGUGAAAUCCGUAGAUAUUAGAAGGAACACCAAUGGCGUAGGCAGGUUACUGGACCAUUUCUGACGCUGAGGCACGAAAGCGUGGGGAGCGAACCGGCUUAGAUACCCCAGUAGUC